rnacentral:sRNA from 1 species
UCAAAUAUCACUUGAGAAUCAUAAAGUCUGAUGAGGAAGAAAGGACAAAUCAUAUCACCUCCACUUUGGAGGAGGGGCAGAGGCCCAGCGGGUGCAGGGACUUGCUCAAGCCCUCUGUUACUAAGCCAAUGCCCCAGCACCCCUGUGGCGAAAGCCGUGCCCCCACUUCCUCACCCCUCCUGUGCCCACAGGUGUCUGUGCCUGUCCGCCUGCCAGCCCUGGGCCUGGGCGUGCUGCAGCUGCAGCUGGGCCUGGAUGGGCACCGCACGCUGCCCUCCUCUGUGCGCAUCUACCUGCAUGGCCGGCAGCUGUCCGUCAGCAGGCACGAAGCGUUCCCUCUCCGUGUCAUUGACUCUGGCACCAGUGACUUCGCCCUCAGCAACCGCUACAUGCAGGUCUGGUUCUCAGGCCUUACUGGGCUCCUCAAGGGGUCAGGGCUGUGUUUUUUGGCAGAGCAUCCGAAGGGUGGAUGAGGAGCAGGAGCAGCAGGUGGACAUGCAGGUCCUUGUCUAUGGCACCCGUACGUCCAAAGACAAGAGUGGAGCCUACCUCUUCCUGCCCGAUGGCGAGGCCAAGCCCUACGUCCCCAAGGAGCCCCCCGUGCUGCGUGUCACUGAAGGCCCUUUCUUCUCAGAGGUGGUUGUGUACUAUGAGCACAUUCACCAGGCGGUCCGGCUUUACAAUCUGCCAGGGGUGGAGGGGCUGUCUCUGGACAUAUCAUCCCUGGUGGACAUCCGGGACUACGUCAACAAGGAGCUGGCCCUGCGCAUCCAUACAGACAUCGACAGCCAGGGUAUCUUCUUCACAGACCUCAAUGGCUUUCAGGUGACUCCUGGGCCUGGGUCUCGGAGACCCCACAGAGUAGAACUUGGUCUCUGCUUUUGCCCCUGUCACAGGCCCUGGGGGAUGAUCUGCCUUGAUGGAGAAAGAUGAAUGAGAGGCGAGAGUGAUCGGGGACUUCUUCGGUCUGGGGACCGCUUGGGCCCACAUGGUGCCUGGGUGCCCUUGAUCUGCUGGCCUUGCCUCCACAGGUGCAGCCCCGACGGUAUCUGAAGA